rnacentral:rRNA from 1 species
CUAAGUUUGAUGGCGACCGGCGCACGGGUGAGUAACACGUAUCCAACCUGCCGAUAACUCGGGGAUAGCCUUUCGAAAGAAAGAUUAAUACCCGAUGGCAUAGUUCUUCCGCAUGGUGGAACUAUUAAAGAAUUUCGGUCAUCGAUGGGGAUGCGUUCCAUUAGGUUGUUGGCGGGGUAACGGCCCACCAAGCCUUCGAUGGAUAGGGGUUCUGAGAGGAAGGUCCCCCACAUUGGAACUGAGACACGGUCCAAACUCCUACGGGAGGCAGCAUG